rnacentral:misc_RNA from 1 species
UGGCUGCGAGGACCCGACAGC